CAUUUGAGUCUCACAGAGAAAUCUACGCAGUGUUAUGAAUAGAACUGAGUCCCCAGCAGGUUCUUCUCUUGAGAGGUAUAGAACGCUGGGGGAACAGCAAAUCAUCUACCUGACAGCGCUUGCUGGCAGCAACAGUAAAGGUUAUCACUCCAUGGAGGUCUCUUUGAUGAUGCAGAUUUUCUAUAAGUCUUUGCACCUGUAAGCAAUCCUUGAAAUAUGUGUCCUCUAAGUACUCUCACACAGUUGACUAAGCAGUAAGUGAGAAGAAACACCCCAAUGGAAAUUGUGGGGAGCCGCCCUCACAUUCGCCGUUGCAAGAUGGCGCUGACA